GAUGAACGCUGGCGGCGUGCCUAAUACAUGCAAGUCGAGCGAACGGACGAGAAGCUUGCUUCUCUGAUGUUAGCGGCGGACGGGUGAGUAACACGUGGAUAACCUACCUAUAAGACUGGGAUAACUUCGGGAAACCGGAGCUAAUACCGGAUAAUAUUUUGAACCGCAUGGUUCAAAAGUGAAAGACGGUCUUGCUGUCACUUAUAGAUGGAUCCGCGCUGCAUUAGCUAGUUGGUAAGGUAACGGCUUACCAAGGCAACGAUGCAUAGCCGACCUGAAAGGGUGAUCGGCCACACUGGAACUGAGACACGGUCCAGACUCCUACGGGAGGCAGCAGUAGGGAAUCUUCCGCAAUGGGCGAAAGCCUGACGGAGCAACGCGGCGUGAGUGAUGAAGGUCUUCGGAUCGUAAAACUCUGUUAUUAGGGAAGAACAUAUGUGUAAGUAACUGUGCACAUCUUGACGGUACCUAAUCAGAAAGCCACGGCUAACUACGUG
rnacentral:rRNA from 1 species